GCGGAGGAAAAGAAACCAACAGGGAUUGCCUCAGUAACGGCGAGUGAAGCGGCAACAGCUCAAAUUUGAAAUCUGGCUCCUUCGGGGCCCGAGUUGUAAUUUGCAGAGGAUGCGUCGGGUACGGGUGCCUUCCGAGUUCCCUGGAACGGGACGCCAUAGAGGGUGAGAGCCCCGUCUGGUAGGAUACCCAGCCCGUGUGACGCUCCCUCGACGAGUCGAGUAGUUUGGGAAUGCUGCUCUAACGGGAGGUAUACUCCUUCCAAGGCUAAAUACCGGCUGGAGACCGAUAGCGCACAAGUAGAGUGAUCGAAAGAUGAAAAGCACUUUGAAAAGAGAGUCAAACAGCACGUGAAAUUGUUAAAAGGGAAGCGCUCGCUACCAGACUUGGGUUCGGCGGUUCAACCGGGGCCACGCCCCGGGGCAUUCCGCCGGCCCAGGCCAGCAUCAGCUUUCCGUCGGGGGUAAAGGCGUCGGGAAUGUGGCUCCCCUUCGGGGGAGUGUUAUAGCCCGUCGUGUCAUACCCUUCGGGGGGCUGAGGUACGCGCUUCUGCAAGGAUGCUGGCGUAAUGGUAGCUAGUGACCCGUCUUGAAACACGGACCAAGGAGUCAACCUUAUGUGCGAGUGCCCGGGCGUAAAACCCCAGCGCGGAAUGAAAGUGAACGUAGGUGAGAGCUUCGGCGCAUCACCGACCGAUCCUGAUGUCCUCGGACGGAUUUGAGUGAGAGCAUAUAGGGUUGGACCCGAAAGAAGAUGAACUAUGCGUGUGUAGGGUGAAGCCAGAGGAAACUCUGGUGGAGGCUCGCAGCGGUUCUGACGUGCAAAUCGA
rnacentral:sRNA from 1 species